UAGGGAAUCUUCGGCAAUGGACGAAAGUCUGACCGAGCAACGCCGCGUGAGUGAAGAAGGUUUUCGGAUCGUAAAACUCUGUUGUUAGAGAAGAACAAGGACGUUAGUAACUGAACGUCCCCUGACGGUAUCUAACCAGAAAGCCACGGCUAACUACGUGCCAGCAGCCGCGGUAAUACGUAGGUGGCAAGCGUUGUCCGGAUUUAUUGGGCGUAAAGCGAGCGCAGGCGGUUUCUUAAGUCUGAUGUGAAAGCCCCCGGCUCAACCGGGGAGGGUCAUUGGAAACUGGGAGACUUGAGUGCAGAAGAGGAGAGUGGAAUUCCAUGUGUGGCGGUGAAAUGCGUAGAUAUAUGGAGGAACACCGGUGACGAAGGCGGCUCUCUGGUCUGUAACUGACGCUGAGGCUCGAAAGCGUGGGGAGCAAACAGG
rnacentral:rRNA from 1 species